rnacentral:misc_RNA from 1 species
UCGUAUCUUCCAGCAGCUGGUGUGAAUUCCUGAAGUGGAGUGCAAAAAAAAUUAGUGGCCUUGUGUGUAUCUGAGGCCAUAUGAUUUUCGUAGACCAAACUUUCACGGGCAACAUCUAGGAAAUGUGAGACUGGCUCAAGAAGAUCAACCUGGAAAAGAGUAACAAAGUGAGAUUGAGAGAGAGAAAGAAGGUAAAUGAAACAAAGUACAGUUUCAUAGCUGUGGUGCAUACAUAACAGUUGGUAAGUUUUGGUAAAAGACUAAAACACCAAUAUGCAACAUUAAUAUAGGAAUAUCUUCGAAAGUUCAUGUCCAAUUUCAUUUCAUCUUCUUGACAUGUAUAAUACAACAAAUAUGCUUCCAGUAAUUUCCCUACAAAGACAGUUCACAAUUUUACGCAAGCAUAAAUAAUACGCUUUUGAGUUUUUGCCACUUGGCCCUUCAACAGGAGUUGUGCUCUAUUAAGCGCUCGAACUAUUCAGUUUGGGCUACCAAAUACUGGAUUAAUAGCAACAAAUAUAAUAUUACUUGGAUACAAGCAAGAAUCAAGGCUAAAAUAGUAGAAUUUAUUCUGACUAUAAGGAUUAGGAUCCCAUAUUAGUUAAUAAAAUAUUUCAAAAUUAAUACAUUAACAUAUGACAUUUACAUACUGCCACAAAAUACAUUAGUUUAUCUAUGCAGGCAUCAAGAAUUGAAACCAAAGGGCUUAGAAACUAAAAAAGUUUGUUAUUUAGGAAACAGCAGGGUGUGUUCACUUACAGAAAAAUAAGCUUGUUUACUGGAAAACUUUCCCAAGAAAACUAGAAAACAGAGUUUGAUGUUCAUGUAUGAUACUUUUCCAGAUAAAGAAGUGGAAAUCAGUCAUCCUUACAUCCUAAGAUUACAACCAACCUUUGGAAAACAAGAUGAACAUGUUUUCUAUUGUUUCCUUUUAUCACUAAGACAUAAUUUUCCAUUUGGAAAACACAGCAUUUUCCAAAUCAUUCUUGAUUUGUACAGGGGCCUGAAACCCAAUCUCAGUAUGUUUGCCAUUUUUGCAUGGUUUUCAUUUGUUUCCUUUAUUAUUUUUUUUCUCUUUUUUCAUUUUAUUAAUUUCUAUA